GCAGAGUAGGGUCACGAGCGUGAGUGCCGCGCGGACGGGGAGUUGCCGCACGGACGAAUUGGGGAAAGCAGAUCUGCGCCCCUGCGGUUCGUCACCCGCAUCCCGCUGU
rnacentral:ncRNA from 1 species